rnacentral:rRNA from 1 species
GAUGAACGCUGGCGGCGUGCCUAAUACAUGCAAGUCGAGCGAAUGGAUUAAGAGCUUGCUCUUAUGAAGUUAGCGGCGGACGGGUGAGUAACACGUGGGUAACCUGCCCAUAAGACUGGGAUAACUCCGGGAAACCGGGGCUAAUACCGGAUAACAUUUUGAACCGCAUGGUUCGAAAUUGACAGGCGGCUUCGGCUGUCACCUAUGGAUGGACUCGCGUCGCAUUAGCUAGUUGGUGAGGUAACGGCUCACCAAGGCAACGAUGCGUAGCCGACCUGAGAGGGUGAUCGGCCACACUGGGACUGAGACACGGCCCAGACUCCUACGGGAGGCAGCAGUAGGGAAUCUUCCGCAAUGGACGGAAGUCUGACGGAGCAACGCCGCGUGAGUGAUGAAGGCUUUCGGGUCGUAAAACUCUGUUGUUAGGGAAGAACAAGUGCUAGUUGAAUAAGCUGGCACCUUGACGGUACCUAACCAGAAAGCCACGGCUAACUACGUGCCAGCCGCCGCAGUAA